AUUUAUAUAAUAUAUUUAGUAUAUUUGACUUCCAAUCAAAAAGUUUAAUAAUUGUAAUAUAAAUA
rnacentral:tRNA from 1 species